GUCUACAGCCAUACCAUCCUGAACAAGCCCGAUCUUGUCUGAUCUGGGAAGCUAAGCAGGGUCGGGCCUGGUUAGUACUUGGAUGGGAGACCACCUAGGAAGACUGGGUGCUGUAGGCG
rnacentral:rRNA from 1 species